GUUUUAUUGCCUGGGCCACAUUGACUGGGGAGGAAUCGUCUUGGGCUGCCAACGAAAUAUAUAAUGUAGCUCAUUUCUCAAGCCUCUCAUGAAGAACACGGUGACAUGCUUAAGUGCCAAAGAAGAAGGAAGGCACGCUGAUGAAAAACAGACAUUGCAGCCAUUAGCAUCGAUCAGCAAUUGAUCAGUGUAUAUGUAAGCAAAGAGGCUGGACUGUUCAACAAGUUUUACUGUUCUUCCUGAACACAGCAUUGUGGCUUUUAAGAGAUAAUCAGAAGCUUUGAAAAGAGCCAGUACACCAUUCCCACUGAACUGCAAAACUUAGGAGGACAAUUAUUUAGCUCUGCCAACAGACACCAGCCCAGUUCUUGUUCUACCCAAAGAUCCUCUAGCCAUUAAACUGACACUGCAAAGCUAUUCAAGAGUGAUAGCCUAUAUAGAGCAACGUCAGCCUGAGAUACUCAAAACUCACUUCAUUUGUGACCCAAGUCAUAUUUGCAUUGCCAUCUACAAAAGUAAAGACUAAAAAAUACCGUUAAACAGAGCAGAAAUUACCAGCUAUGACACAUUAUAU
ensembl:lncRNA